rnacentral:rRNA from 1 species
AUUGAACGCUGGCGGCAUGCCUUACGCAUGCGAGUCGAACGGCAGCAUGGAGAGCUUGCUCUCUGAUGGCGAGUGGCGAACGGGUGAGUAAUGCAUCGGAACGUACCGUGUAAUGGGGGAUAACGUAGCGAAAGUUACGCUAAUACCGCAUACGACCUGAGGGUGAAAGCAGGAGAUCGCAAGACCUUGCGUUAUACGAGCGGCCGAUGUCAGAUUAGCUAGUUGGUGAGGUAAAGGCUCACCAAGGCGACGAUCCGUAGCGGGUCUGAGAGGAUGAUCCGCCACACUGGGACUGAGACACGGCCCAGACUCCUACGGGAGGCAGCAGGGGGGAAUUUUGGACAAUGGGGGCAACCCUGAUCCAGCCAUGCCGCGUGAGUGAAGAAGGCCUUCGGGUUGUAAAGCUCUUUCGGCCGGGAAGAAAUCGCACAGGCUAAUACUCUGUGUGGAUGACGGUACCGGCAUAAGAAGCACCGGCUAACUACGUGCCAGCAGCCGCAGUAA